rnacentral:rRNA from 1 species
GAUGAACGCUGGCGGCGUGCCUAAUACAUGCAAGUCGAGCGAACGGACGAGAAGCUUGCUUCUCUGAUGUUAGCGGCGGACGGGUGAGUAACACGUGGAUAACCUACCUAUAAGACUGGGAUAACUUCGGGAAACCGGAGCUAAUACCGGAUAAUAUUUUGAACCGCAUGGUUCAAAAGUGAAAGACGGUCUUGCUGUCACUUAUAGAUGGAUCCGCGCUGCAUUAGCUAGUUGGUAAGGUAACGGCUUACCAAGGCAACGAUGCAUAGCCGACCUGAGAGGGUGAUCGGCAACACUGGAACGGAGAAAGGGUCAAGACUCCAACGGGAGGAAGAAGGAGGGAAUCUUCCGAAAUGGGCGAAAGCCGGACGGAGAAACGCCGCGUGAGGGAUGAAGGUCUUCGGAUCGUAAAACUUUGUUAUUAGGGAAGAACAUAUGUGUAAGUAACUGUGCAAAUCUUGACGGUACCUAAUCAGAAAGCCACGGCUAACUACGGG